rnacentral:sRNA from 2 species
CUGCUAAUAAAUAAGUAUACGCCAUGCAACUCGGAUGGGCUUUUUCUUUAUAAUUAAACCUCAUCAUCAUCAUCUGCUUCCUCUGCUUUCUUCUCUUCUUCCCCUCCCUCUCCUGCUUCUGUUCCCCCAGCUGCAAGUGGCUGCUCUCCGUCUCGCCGUCUCCCCGCAUAUAUCGGCCCAAUCAAUGUCUCCCCCACAUGACUUCGCCGCCCGCUCUUCCUCCUCCUCCUCGUUUCACCCGCGACAUCAACCUCAACGAUCAACCUCUUCCUCCUCUCCACCAUCUCCCUCCGCCGCUCCAGCGUCCGUCCCACAUCAUUCACAUCUCGCUGCCCGCUCUCGUCUGUCCAACAUCUCCCGCCACAUCGCCAUGGCUGCCCCCGCCAACCCCUCAGUAUUCACCGCUGCAGUGGUGCCCCAGGCCCCCGAGGACCCGCUCUUCGGCCUGAUGCGCGCCUACAAGCAGGACACGUCCGAUAAGAAGGUCGACCUGGGCAUUGGUGCGUACAGAGACAACAACGCGAAGCCGUGGGUCUUGCCUGUCGUGAAGAAGGCCGAUGAGCUCCUGCGCAGCGAUCCGAAUCUAAACCAUGAAUAUCUCCCCAUUGCUGGUCUGCCUGAGUUCACCAGCGCUGCUCAAAGGCUGAUCCUCGGCGCAGAUUCACCCGCCAUCAAGGAAAAUCGAGUCAUCUCCCUCCAAACAAUCUCCGGCACCGGUGCCGUCCAUCUCGGCGGCCUCUUCCUGUCCAAAUUCCACCCCUCCCAGCCGAAACCAACAAUCUACCUCUCCUCCCCCACCUGGGCCAACCACACACAGAUCUUCUCCAACGUCCACCUCCGCACUGCCACCUACCCCUACUUCUCUCCGGCCACCAGGGGCCUCGACAUCACCGGCAUGCUCGAUGCCCUCCGCGCCGCACCUCGGGGCUCCAUCAUCCUUCUCCACGCCUGCUGUGCAUCGCGCAGUCCUUCGCAAAGAACUUCGGCCUGUACGGCGAGCGCGCAGGCGCGUUCCACUUCGUCGCCGCGCCGGGCCCACAGGCGUCCGCGACAGCCGCGCACGUGGCGUCGCAGCUGGCCAUCCUGCAGCGGUCCGAGAUCUCGAACCCGCCCGCGUACGGCGCGCGCAUCGCGGCGCGGGUCCUCAACGACCCCGCGCUGUUUGCGGAGUGGGAGGCCGAUCUGCGCGCGAUGAGCGGCCGGAUCGUGGAGAUGCGCCGCGGCUUGCGCGAGCGGUUGGAGCGGCGCGGCACCCCGGGCAGCUGGGACCACAUCACGAGCCAGAUUGGCAUGUUUAGUUUUACGGGCCUGAGUGAGGCGCAGGUGCAGCGGCUCAGGGAGAAGUGGCAUGUUUAUAUGACGAAGAACGGCCGUAUCUCCAUGGCGGGGCUGAACAGCAACAAUAUCGAUUACUUCGCCGAGGCGGUCGAUAGUGUCGUGCGGGAGGUGUCGUAACUAGUUAAUGGGGUAGCUUAGUUAGGGCUGGGGGUGAAGGGGUUGGUUGGCAAAAUAAAAACUCCACGUAAUGAAAAAAAAAAUCCGAUAUUAAACAUCAAAAAGCAAAACAAAACAAAAAAAAUAAAAAUAAAAAUAAAAAUAAAAAUAAGAACCGGAAAGAAUUUAUUAGUAGUUAGUUAUACUAACUAUCUUAGUUAAUCGGUUCCGGUUCCAAUAACCUCUUAACACGGGAGAUGUGGGGGAAGAGGAAUAGUAAUUGAAGAACAAAAAGCGGACAUGAAAUGAUGGUUUUGGGGGGGUUUUUUUGAUAAAGGAGAAAGAAAGGACGGUCUCUUAAUGUUGGUUGGUAUUCAGUUAAACAUAUAUAUAAUCUAAUAUCUCUGCUCUGCUCCUCUUUUGCUGAGUGAAGACUGCUUCCUUGCUGCUUUGCUUUCUUUACAUGUUGAUAUGAUAGUUAUGAUUAUGAUUAGAUUGGGGGCGGAAGACUAGCAAGCAAGCAGGAAGAGCUGCAGAUGGAAGUAAGUAUACAUACAUAUCUCUGGAUAGAAAUACACGCAGAAGCCAGGUCAGAUGAAGACUAGCGACGAGAAAAUAAACAAGAAAUAUG